rnacentral:rRNA from 1 species
UACGUAGGGUGCGAGCGUUGUCCGGAAUUAUUGGGCGUAAAGAGCUCGUAGGCGGUCUGUCGCGUCUGCUGUGAAAUCCCGAGGCUCAACCUCGGGCUUGCAGUGGGUACGGGCAGGCUAGAGUGCGGUAGGGGAGAAUGGAACUCCUGGUGUAGCGGUGGAAUGCGCAGAUAUCAGGAGGAACACCGAUGGCGAAGGCAGAUCUCUGGGCCGUAACUGACGCUGAGGAGCGAAAGCAUGGGGAGCGAACAGG